GCCGCACUAGCUCAGAUGGUAGAGCAACGCAUUCGUAAUGCGUGGGUCGCUGGUUCGAGUCCGGCGUGCGGCACCA
rnacentral:tRNA from 1 species